rnacentral:rRNA from 1 species
GAUGAACGCUGGCGGCGUGCCUAAUACAUGCAAGUCGAGCGAAUGGAUUAAGAGCUUGCUCUUAUGAAGUUAGCGGCGGACGGGUGAGUAACACGUGGGUAACCUGCCCAUAAGACUGGGAUAACUCCGGGAAACCGGGGCUAAUACCGGAUAACAUUUUGAACCGCAUGGUUCGAAAUUGAAAGGCGGCUUCGGCUGCCACUUAUGGAUGGACCCGCGUCGCAUUAGCUAGUUGGUGAGGUAACGGCUCACCAAGGCAACGAUGCGUAGCCGACCUGAGAGGGUGAUCGGCCACACUGGGACUGAGACACGGCCCAGACUCCUACGGGAGGCAGCAGUAGGGAAUCUUCCGCAAUGGACGAAAGUCUGACGGAGCAACGCCGCGUGAGUGAUGAAGGCUUUCGGGUCGUAAAACUCUGUUGUUAGGGAAGAACAAGCGCUAGUUGAAUAAGCUGGCACCUUGACGGUACCUAACCAGAAAGCCACGGCUAACUACGUGCCAGCAGCCGCUGUAA